rnacentral:tRNA from 1 species
GCCCUCAUAGCUCAAUUUGGUAGAGCAAUGGCCUUUUAAGCCAGUGGUUGGAGGUUCAAGUCCUCCUGGGGGCA